rnacentral:rRNA from 1 species
UACGUAGGCAGCGAGCGUUGUUCGGAGUUACUGGGCGUAAAGAGCGUGUAGGCGGCCAGGUAGGUCUGCUGUGAAAACUCGAGGCUCAACCUCGAGACGUCGGCGGAAACCAUCUGGCUAGAGUCCGGAAGAGGAGAGUGGAAUUCCUGGUGUAGCGGUGAAAUGCGCAGAUAUCAGGAAGAACACCCGUGGCGAAGGCGGCUCUCUGGGACGGUACUGACGCUGAGACGCGAAAGCGUGGGGAGCGAACAGG